UUGUCCGGAAUUAUUGGGCGUAAAGGGCUCGUAGGCGGUUUGUCGCGUCGGGAGUGAAAACCAGGUGCUUAACACCUGGCUUGCUUUCGAUACGGGCAGACUAGAGGUAUUCAGGGGAGAACGGAAUUCCUGGUGUAGCGGUGAAAUGCGCAGAUAUCAGGAGGAACACCGGUGGCGAAGGCGGUUCUCUGGGAAUGACCUGACGCUGAGGAGCGAAAGUGUGGGGAGCGAACAGGAUUAGAUACCCUGGUAGUCCACACCGUAAACGUUGGGCGCUAGGUGUGGGGUCCAUUCCACGGAUUCCGUGCCGCAGCUAACGCACUAAGCGCCCCGCCUGGGGAGUACGGCCGCAAGGCUAAAACUCAAAGGAAUUGACGGGGGCCCGCACAAGCGGCGGAGCAUGCGGAUUAAUUCGAUGCAACGCGAAGAACCUUACCUGGGUUUGACAUACACCCUGCCGCUCCAGAGAUGGGGCUUCUUUUGGGGGUGUACAGGUGGUGCAUGGCUGUCGUCAGCUCGUGUCGUGAGAUGUUGGGUUAAGUCCCGCAACGAGCGCAACCCUCGUUCUAUGUUGCCAGCACGUAAUGGUGGGGACUCAUAGGAGACUGCCGGGGCCAACUCGGAGGAAGGUGGGGAUGACGUCAAGUCAUCAUGCCCCUUAUGUCCAGGGCUUCACGCAUGCUACAAUGGCCGGUACAAAGGGCUGCGAUCCCGUAAGGGGGAGCGAAUCCCAAAAAGCCGGUCUCAGUUCGGAUUGGGGUCUGCAACUCGACCCCAUGAAGUCGGAGUCGCUAGUAAUCG
rnacentral:rRNA from 1 species